GAAGGAUGCCCUUCCUGCUGAGUGCUGACACAAUGAGUCCAUUGGAAAGCAAGUCUGAAAAUGCUCAUAUGCACUGCUGAAUUGCAGCAUGGGUCAAACUCCCAAUAUUAACAUGUUCUAUGACCCGGGCCACAUUCUGGACAUCCAGACAUAAAGCAGAAAAAAACGGGUACAGAAGCAAAGGACGGCUGCUUCAAUGUCCUCAGUAGCAGUUGGAAGUCAGAAGCCUCACCUGAUAUGUUAACAGAAAUGGAAUAAAAUAGUUAUUCACUCUGUAACUAAAAGGAUAAAAAGUGAACUUUAAAGAGUCUUGGAACAGCAGCUGCAGGAAGCAAGUACCAUUUCUAGGCCUGGGGGAUAUAAGAAGUGUUUGGAAGUACCACAACUUAGAAGCAUGGAGAAGGGGUCCCAUGGAGCUGAAAUUCAGAGCAUUGAAGAGGAGCCCUGGCCAGUUCUGUUUAAUGAGGAAGGGGGUGAAAACCCAAAUUUGUUAUCAUCGUUUUCGCUUUCCCAUCAAGAAAGCUCAGAGAAGAGAGGGGUUAACACUGUGUGUCUGGUUUGCAACGGAGUCAAAUGCCUCAUUUGGACAUCUCUCUGCCUCGCAUGGAGGGAACUGCCCACGCCCACGUCACCCCAGACUCUGUGAUGGCAAAAGUGUGAUUCCGAGAGUCACUUAUUACCGCUAA
rnacentral:lncRNA from 1 species